rnacentral:rRNA from 2 species
UGGGGAAUUUUGCACAAUGGGGGAAACCCUGAUGCAGCGACGCCGCGUGAUUUAGAAGGCCUUCGGGUUGUAAAAAUCUUUUCUAUGGGAAGAAAAUGACAGUACCAUAGGAAUAAGGACCGGCUAAUUACGUGCCAGCAGCCGCGGUAAUACGUAAGGUCCGAGCGUUGUCCGGAAUCAUUGGGCGUAAAGGGUACGUAGGCGGGUAAGCAAGUUAGAAGUGAAAUCCUAUAGCUCAACUAUAGUAAGCUUUUAAAACUGCUCAUCUUGAGGUAUGGAAGGGAAAGUGGAAUUCCUAGUGUAGCGGUGAAAUACGCAGAUAUUAGGAGGAAUACCGGUGGCGAAGGCGACUUUCUGGCCAUAACCUGACGCUGAGGUACGAAAGCGUGGGUAGCAAACAGG